UUGCGCCGUUUUCGUGCCGCGCUCAAUCCUCGCUGGUUGCGGGUGUCGCAGAGCUUACGUGGGCAUGUGAGAGAGCAUUUUGGAGAGCUUUUCGCAGCUCUGGACCAGUAGCCCACUGGUUGGAAGCUUGAGAAGCUAAGAGAAAAGAGGUUUUGCUGCUGUAACGGGGUUGGGUAUGAUGGUUUAGCUUAGUUGGGACUGAGUUUAUGAUACAAGAAGGUUUGCGAAUUGAAUUCCACUUAAUUGGAGACCUUGGGGACUGAUUUAGAAAGUGUUCUAACCUGAGUUCGCAGCGAGAGUACGAUCGACUCUUGGACCGCUUUCAGCUGACUUAUGAGAGUUUCGGGAAGUUGAACUUGAGCAGAGUUGGGACUCCGUUGAGCCGAGUUUGGAGGCUUCUUUUGGUUGGAUUGAGCUAGUGAUAGCUUGCAGUGUCAAAGAUGCACCCCACGGCGACUGAUGCAACUGAGCCAGAAAGACGUGUACCCUCUGAAUCUAGCGAGGUGCGGGGAUUAACAGAACAGCUGGUUAUUCUAGUUGGAGUGGUGGAACGACAGGCGAAUGUGACGCUUCUUCAAGCCGAGGCUUUGCGCCGACAGGAUGAAGGAAUCCGACGGUUGGAGAACCUGUUGAUUCAACAGACGGCUGAUCUCCAGAAAUUCCAUGAAGUUCCAGAUCACACCCCAACAGGAAGAAAAUGUGUGGGAUGUACUGAAAAGGCAAAAGAGGCUACCCAGGGUGAUCAGUUACAAGUCGGGGAAUCAUCAAGAAAGGUAAAGAAGAAUCAAUCUCGAGGACGUGGUUCCCUUUCUAAGCAGAGAAUGUUGAAACGUCGAUCACCACGGCCUUGUGUAAUUUGUAGAGGUCCGCACGUUCCCCCAAAGUGUCCUCAACGGAAGGGAAAGUGUUUUGUAUGUGGUCAGGAAGGCCAUUUUCGAUCUGCGUGCCCAAGAAAUAAUAUAUUGACUAAGGUGUCUGCACCGACUUCGUUGCAAAAAGUACCCAGUGGAAGUACGCCGACGGGAUUGUAGAUUCAGAUGCGACGACGGGAAUGCUUACUAUAGGUAGUACAUUGUGCAAUGUUUCUAUAA